GGAGCCCCAUCAGAUGUUCUCCACCCCUGCUCUCUUGCCUUGGAGCACUGUUGGGUGCAAUGUGGGCACUAGGACCCUUCAAGCUUCUCAACACCUCUCUACAGCAGAUGCCCAGUACACUUCCUGGCCUCAUGAACCAUCUGUCAGCCACUGGGACAUUUGGUUCUAAUCUCAGACCAGCCAUUGAGAUGGAGCUGUGAGCUCUGCUGCUACAUCAAAGGGAAGCCCCCAGGAGCACCAUCGGAUCCUCUCCAUUCCUUGCUCUUGUGCCCACAGAGCACUGGUGGGGACCAUCUGGGCACUAGGACCAUCUUGAUCAUCUCCCAGCAGCUCUUACUCUACAGCAGAUGCCCAACAUUUUCCAGCCUCAUGGACUAUCCCUCUGCCAUUUGGAC